rfam:Schistosoma curassoni strain Dakar, Senegal genome assembly, scaffold: SCTD_contig0004920
AUCCAGAUGAUGAAUUUCAAAUAGGAUGAAACACGUGUCCUACAU